rnacentral:rRNA from 1 species
AACGAACGCUGGCGGCAUGCCUAACACAUGCAAGUCGAACGAGACCUUCGGGUCUAGUUGCGCACGGGUGCGUACCGCGUGGGAACCUGCCCUUAGGUUCGGAAUAACUCCCCGAAAGGGGUGCUAAUACCGGAUAAUGUCUUCGGACCAAAGAUUUAUCGCCUUUGGAUGUGCCCGCGUUGGAUUAGCUAGUUGGUAGGGUAAAAGCCUACCAGGGCGACGAUCCAUAGCUGGUCUGAGAGGAUGAUCAGCCACACUGGGACUGAGACACGGCCCAGACUCCUACGGGAGGCAGCAGUGGGGAAUAUUGGACAAUGGGCGAAAGCCUGAUCCAGCAAUGCCGCGUGAGUGAUGAAGGCCUUAGGGUUGUAAAGCUCUUUUAACCGGGAUGAUAAUGACAGUACCGGGAGAAUAAGCGCCGGCUAACUCCGUG